CAAAGACAAAAGCUGAAAAAAGAACAAUCACAACCCAGAGAAGACCAUAACUUUGAAAACGCUCGCCCAACAUGAAAGCCAACACAUACAGGGAUGGUCUAAAAGAAGUUUGAGAUUAUUCUUGUUUAAAAAAUCUUUGACCUUUGAAAUAUGUUUGCUAAAUAAUUUAUCUUUGUCAAAUCUCACUAUCCUUUCAGGGGUAACUUUUCAUGAUGGAAAACAGCAAAAAUCCAGAUCUGGAAAGCAGAUUUUUCCAAGAAGAAUUUCCAGCACUCAUUCAAUACAUCUCAUCAAAUGGAGUGGAUAGCUUUGAUAGCAUUGAACUAAGCAAAAUGUUGAAUGAUUAGCGCCAACCAAGCGGUUCUCAACCUUUCAGUUCAUCGGCGAUGCAGGGAAGUGAUGUUGCUACCUUGGAAAACCAAACUGGUGAAUCUCAAUCCAUCUUCCAUCAAAGAAAGCAUUUUGUUUCCAUCAGCUUGUCAGCUUCUCCAAUAGCAGAAAGCUCGAAGAACCCAAAAAGGUUAUUUUCAAAGAAGAUGCUGAAAAAAUAUUUGUUUAUGAAAAUCAAGAUUCUUCUACUGCAUCUAAGACUGCCGGUAUGUCAGAUGAUAGUGAUUUUGUUAUUUCCUGGAAUUAGUUGAGGUUUGAUUUUGCAUGCACACAAAGUGUUCUGUGAAAGUUCUAGCUUCUUCUUUUUUUUAUUACAAAGUUGUAAUAUUAAUUUGAUUUAUAGUUUGAUGGUAAAGUUUAAUAUUUAUAUAA